rnacentral:rRNA from 1 species
AUAUCAAUAAGCGGAGGAAAAGAAACUAACAAGGAUUCCCCUAGUAACUGCGAGUGAAGCGGGAAAAGCUCAAAUUUAAAAUCUGGCGGUCUCUGGCCGUCCGAGUUGUAAUCUAGAGAAGUGUUAUCCGCGCUGGACCGUGUACAAGUCUCCUGGAAUGGAGCGUCAUAGAGGGUGAGAAUCCCGUCUUUGACACGGACUGCCAGGGCUUUGUGAUGCGCUCUCAAAGAGUCGAGUUGUUUGGGAAUGCAGCUCAAAAUGGGUGGUAAAUUCCAUCUAAAGCUAAAUAUUGGCGAGAGACCGAUAGCGAACAAGUACCGUGAGGGAAAGAUGAAAAGAACUUUGGAAAGAGAGUUAAACAGUACGUGAAAUUGCUGAAAGGGAAACGCUUGAAGUCAGUCGCGUUGGCCGGGAAUCAACCUUGCUUUUGCUGGGCGUACUUUCCGGUUGACGGGUCAGCAUCAAUUUUGACCGUUGGAUAAAGUCCAGGGGAAUGUGGCAUCUUCGGAUGUGUUAUAGCCCUUGGUCGCAUACAACGGUUGGGAUUGAGGAACUCAGCACGCCGCAAGGCCGGGUACUUGUACCACGUUCGUGCUUAGGAUGCUGGCAUAAUGGCUUUAAUCGACCCGUCUUGAAACACGGACCAAGGAGUCUAACAUGCCUGCGAGUGUUUGGGUGGAAAACUCGGACGCGUAAUGAAAGUGAAAGUUGAGAUCCCUGUCGUGGGGAGCAUCGACGCCCGGACCAGACCUUUUGUGACGGAUCCGCGGUAGAGCAUGUAUGUUGGGACCCGAAAGAUGGUGAACUAUGCCUGAAUAGGGUGAAGCCAGAGGAAACUCUGGUGGAGGCUCGUAGCGAUUCUGACGUGCAAAUCGAUCGUCAAAUUUGGGUAUAGGGGCGAAAGACUAAU